UGGGGAAUUUUGGACAAUGGGCGAAAGCCUGAUCCAGCAAUGCCGCGUGUGUGAAGAAGGCCUUCGGGUUGUAAAGCACUUUUGUCCGGAAAGAAAUCCUUGGCUCUAAUACAGUCGGGGGAUGACGGUACCGGAAGAAUAAGCACCGGCUAACUACGUGCCAGCAGCCGCGGUAAUACGUAGGGUGCAAGCGUUAAUCGGAAUUACUGGGCGUAAAGCGUGCGCAGGCGGUUUGCUAAGACCGAUGUGAAAUCCCCGGGCUCAACCUGGGAACUGCAUUGGUGACUGGCAGGCUAGAGUAUGGCAGAGGGGGGUAGAAUUCCACGUNUAGCAGUGAAAUGCGUAGAGAUGUGGAGGAAUACCGAUGGCGAAGGCAGCCCCCUGGGCAAUACUGACGCUCAUGCACGAAAGCGUGGGGAGCAAACAGGAUUAGAUACCCUGGUAGUCCACGCCCUAAACGAUGUCAACUAGUUGUUGGGGAUUCAUUUCCUUAGUAACGUAGCUAACGCGUGAAGUUGACCGCCUGGGGAGUACGUCGCAAGAUUAAAACUUAAAGGAAUUGACGGGGUCAUAGCUGUUUCCU
rnacentral:rRNA from 1 species